AGUGGGCAAGCGGAGGGUGGGAGGUGGGCGCAGGUUGCUCGUCUGUGCUGGCCGGGGGUGUGCCCCUGCUUCCCCCCCACCUCGCAAGAGAUGCCCAGUGGGCAGAGUAACAGGAACCACAGCACAGAUUUGGCUGAAAAGCCCCGGGUGGGCGCGCAGCACCCGCUGGUGGGGGACUUGUCAGAUGCGAACUGAUAAAACACUGAGCGCUCAGCUGCAGAGCAGGCACCUGUGCUGAACGUCAGAGCAAAGUUUUCCAACAGUGCAUUCCGCGCUGAUGUCUGCAUUGGCUCUCAGGGAGCAGAGCCCGGAGCUGGGGGCCGCGUGACCCGCAGGAGCCACAGGAGGGGCCUGCCAGCUGGGGUCCCGCUCACCUUCACUGGCGUCGUCCAGUCUUGCCGCCCCGUCCAGGCCAGGGGAGGCUCAGGACCAAUACGUGUGGCCUUGCCGUGCCAGCCCGGCUGCCGAGGGAGCUGUUCUGCGGAGCUGCUUUACUCUGAGCUGUGGUUAUGACAAAACAGGAACAAGAGAGGAACAGAAAAAGAUCAGCCAAGUGAUUUUCAUGGUGUCGUUUUUCUUGAAGAUUCACUUUAAUAGUUGGAACUAUAGGGAAGAAAUGUUUUGGAAGCGAGAAUAAGACUACGACAAGCCAAACAGCAUAAUAUUCUAAAUGUGAAAUAAAAGAAUGUAUCACUUCCUGAAAAAAGAAAGAAAAAAUUAAGCUCACUGACACACACGUAUGCACCUGUGCACACAUCCCACACACGUUCCUACAUGGAUAUUAGAAGAGACUGUUUACUUGGAUGUUUUUAAAAAUUACUUAUCUUGGGCUUCCCUGGUGGCACAGUGGUUGA